CAAGAGCGUAUAUUAAAGUUGCUGCGGUUAAAAAGCUCGUAGUUGGAUUUCAGUCUAGGAAGGUUAACUCGCCGAAAGGUUGUACGUUGAUUUUCCUCAGACUUCGUCAGAAGCUCGUGCUGCACUUAACUGUGUGGUACGAUGUUCUGACCUUUUACCUUGAGGAAAGUAGAGUGUUUCAGGCAGGCUACCCAGCUUGAAUACAUUAGCAUGGAAUAAUGAAAUGGAUCUCGGUUCGAUUUCGUUGGUUCUAGAGCUGGGGUGAUGAUCAAUAGGAACAGGCGAAGGUAUUCGUACUUGAGAGUGAGGAGUGAAAUCCGAUGAUCUCUUAAAGACGAUCCGAGGCGAAAGCAUUUGUCAAGGAUGUUUUCAUUGA
rnacentral:rRNA from 1 species